rnacentral:tRNA from 1 species
GCGCUCGUAGCUCAGUUGGAUAGAGUACUUGACUACGAAUCAAGGGGCCACAGGUUCGAAUCCUGUCGGGCGCA